rnacentral:sRNA from 1 species
CAUUAUUCUAAUCUGUGUAUGGAAAAAUCCCAGAAAAUUAAUCCUUUUAUAUUGCAUAUACUCCAAGAAGUGGAUGAAGAAAUUAAAAAGGGGCUAGCAGCAGGAAUCACAUUAAACAUUGCUGGUAACAAUCGCUUAGUGCCAGUAGAAAGAGUUACAGGUGAAGAUUUUUGGAUUCUUUCCAAAAUUUUAAAGAAUUGUCUGUAUAUUAAUGGUUUGGAUGUUGGAUAUAACCUUCUAUGUGACGUUGGUGCAUACUAUGCUGCGAAACUGCUUCAGAAACAACUUAAUCUCAUUUACUUAAACCUCAUGUUUAAUGAUAUUGGGCCCGAAGGUGGAGAAUUGAUUGCUAAAGUGCUACAUAAGAAUCGGACUCUGAAAUACCUAAGAAUGACUGGAAACAAAAUUGAAAAUAAAGGUGGAAUGUUUUUUGCUGCAAUGCUGCAAAUUAAUUCAUCCUUAGAGAAAUUAGAUCUGGGUGACUGUGAUCUGGUGAGUAAACUGGUUAUGAGAAAAUCAUCCAGAUAGUGGGUCAUUAGAGAACAGGUAAAUGAGAGUCUUAUGAAUGAUUAAU